rnacentral:rRNA from 1 species
UACGAAGGGGGGCUAGCGUUGCUCGGAAUCACUGGGCGUAAAGGGUGCGUAGGCGGGUCUUUAAGUCAGGGGUGAAAUCCUGGAGCUCAACUCCAGAACUGCCUUUGAUACUGAAGAUCUUGAGUUCGGGAGAGGUGAGUGGAACUGCGAGUGUAGAGGUGAAAUUCGUAGAUAUUCGCAAGAACACCAGUGGCGAAGGCGGCUCACUGGCCGAUACUGACGCUGAGGCACGAAAGCGUGGGGAGCAAACAGG